rnacentral:rRNA from 1 species
GUAGUCCACGCCGUAAACGAUGGGCACUAGAUGUUGUAGGAAUUGACCCCUGCAGUGUCGUAGCUAACGCAUUAAGUGCCCCGCCUGGGAAGUACGGUCGCAAGAUUAAAACUCAAAGGAAUUGACGGGGGCCCGCACAAGCGGUGGAGCAUGUGGUUUAAUUCGAUGCAACGCGAGGAACCUUACCUGGAUUUGACAUCCACUGACCGCUCCAGAGAUGGAGUUUCCCCGAAAGGGGCAGUGAGACAGGUGCUGCAUGGCUGUCGUCAGCUCGUAUCGUGAGAUGUCGGGUUAAGUCCCUUAACGAGCGCAACCCCUAUCCCUAGUUGCCAUCAUUUAGUUGGGCACUCUACGGAGACUGCCGGUGUUAAACCGGA